UGCUAGUUGUACGAGUUCACACUCGUAGCAAAUAGCUCCGUAACACGUGGCCAAACUACCCUACAGAGAACGAUAACCUCGGGAAACUGAGGCUAAUAGUUCAUACACGUCUCAAGUUGGAAUACUGAGACGCUCAAACGUUCCGACGCUGUAGGACGUGGCUGCGGCCGAUUAGGUAGACGGUGGGGUAACGGCCCACCGUGCCGAUAAUCGGUACGGGUUGUGAGAGCAAGAACCCGGAGACGGAAUCUGAGACAAGAUUCCGGGCCCUACGGGGCGCAGCAGGCGCGAAACCUUUACACUGCACGCAAGUGCGAUAAGGGGACCCCGAGUGCGAGGGCAUACAGUCCUCGCUUUUCACUACCGUAAGGUGGUAGUGGAAUAAGAGCUGGGCAAGACCGGUGCCAGCCGCCGCGGUAAUACCGGCAGCUCGAGUGAUGGCCGAUUUUAUUGGGCCUAAAGCGUCCGUAGCCGGCCACACAAGUCCAUCGGGAAAUCCGCCAGCCUAACUGGCGGGCGUCCGGUGGAAACUGUGUGGCUUGGGACCGGAAGACCCAACAGGUACGUCUUGGGUAGGAGUGAAAUCCCGUAAUCCUGGACGGACCACCGAUAGCGAAAGCAUGUUGGGAAGACGGAUCCGACGGUGAGGGACGAAAGCCAGGGUCUCGAACCGGAUUAGAUACCCGGGUAGUCCUGGCCGUAAACGAUGUCUGCUAGGUGUGGCUCCCACUACGAGUGGGUGCUGUGCCGUAGGGAAGCCGCUAAGCAGACCGCCUGGGAAGUACGUCCGCAAGGAUGAAACUUAAAGGAAUUGGCGGGGGGAGCACUACAACCGGGAGGAGCCUGCGGGUUUAAUUGGACUCAACGCCGGGACAUCUCACCAGCAUCGACAACAGC
rnacentral:rRNA from 1 species